UGGGGAAUAUUGCACAAUGGGCGCAAGCCUGAUGCAGCCAUGCCGCGUGUAUGAAGAAGGCCUUCGGGUUGUAAAGUACUUUCAGCGAGGAGGAAGGCGGUAAGGUUAAUAACCUUAUCGAUUGACGUUACUCGCAGAAGAAGCACCGGCUAACUCCGUGCCAGCAGCCGCGGCAAUACGGAGGGUGCAAGCGUUGAUCGGAAUUACUGGGCGUAAAGCGCACGCAGGCGGUCUGUCAAGUCGGAUGUGAAAUCCCCGGGCUCAACCUGGGAACUGCAUUCGAAACUGGCAGGCUAGAGUCUUGUAGAGGGGGGUAGAAUUCCAGGUGUAGCGGUGAAAUGCGUAGAGAUCUGGAGGAAUACCGGUGGCGAAGGCGGCCCCCUGGACAAAGACUGACGCUCAGGUGCGAAAGCGUGGGGAGCAAACA
rnacentral:rRNA from 1 species